AAUUCUCUCUUUAAUUACGUCCCCAGAAUCUCAUUUCUCCCCAAAUCCAUUUUCCUAUCAAACCCGAUCUCCCCUCUCCCAAAAUUCAUUUGGUCUCUUCUCUAGAAACAAGGACCGGCGAUUUCACAUAUCCCCACCCUCAUUUCUCACUAAUUUAGAGGUAAUUGUUUAGUUUGGCUUGAUUUAAUGGCCAUCCAAGACAAAGAUGAGUAAUUAUGGGAUUGUAGAAACGUGGGCUUUUGGGUAUUAAUACCCAAAAUUGAAGAUGCAAAUGACGAUCUCCACCCAAAUCGAGAUUUUCCCCCUGUUUUGUUGGAGAGCACAAACGUUUUCUUGAGCAAAUUUUCGCUCCUAAGCUUGAUUUUCUUUUUCUCGGCAAACAAGCUUAGGGAAAUGACAUAAUGCAGACGAGGUUGAAAUAGGAGAGGUGGAGAGGACUGUGACAAUCAAGUAACCCUCGGCAAGGACACUCUACUGAGACACAAUCAUCAAGAACUUCUGUUGAAAGUGUGCAUCCCACUCUAGAAACUGAAAAUAGUGAUGUAGGAAUAAAUUUCUUCAACAAAGGAGAUGAUGUUGGCCGAGGAGAAGUUCGAAGACAUUUGACUUUUUUCUCAUGUGUAUACACAAUUACAAUGUAUUACGGAGUGUUGUGUACUUUGUUACAUAAAUUAUUUGGUAAUGAAAA